CGGACGGGUGAGUAAUGUCUGGGAAACUGCCUGAUGGAGGGGGAUAACUACUGGAAACGGUAGCUAAUACCGCAUAACGCGCAAGACCAAAGAGGGGACCUUCGGGCCUCUUGCCAUCGGAUGUGCCCAGAUGGGAUUAGCUAGUAGGUGGGGUAACGGCUCACCUAGGCGACGAUCCCUAGCUGGUCUGAGAGGAUGACCAGCCACACUGGAACUGAGACACGGUCCAG
rnacentral:rRNA from 1 species